CCUACGGGGUGCAGCAGUGAGGACUAUUGGUCAAUGGACGAGAGUCUGAACUAUCCAAGUAGCGUGAAGGAUGACUGCCCUAUGGGUUGUAAACUUCUUUUAUAUGGGACUAAAAUGUUCCACGUGUGGGAGUUUGUAUGUACCAUCUGAAUAAGGAUCGGCUAACUCCGUGCCAGCAGCCGGUGUAAUACGGAGGAUCCGAGCGUUAUCCGGAUUUAUUGGGUUUACAGGGAGCGUAGGUGGAUUUUUAAGUCAGUUGUGAAAGUUUGCGACUCAACCGUAAAAUUGAAGUUGAAACUGGCAGUCUUGAGUACAGUAGAGGUGGGCGGAAUUCGUGGUGUAGCGGUGAAAUGCUUAGAGAUCACGAAGAACUCCGAUUGCGAAGGCAGCUCACUGGACUGCAACUGACACUGAGGCGCGAAAGUGUGGGUAUCAAACAGGAUUAGAUACCCUAGUAGUC
rnacentral:rRNA from 1 species